rnacentral:rRNA from 1 species
GUCUUAAAGAAAUGAAUUUUAAGUNCAAAUCUCGCCCAAUGAAAUAAUUAAAUGGCCUGCAGAAUAAAUAACUGUACAAAGGUAGCAUAAUAAUUUGUUUUUUAAUUAAAAACUAGAAUGAAUGAUUAAAUGAAAUAUAAACUUUAUCAAUUAAAAAUUUUAAAUUUUUAUUUAAGUAAAAAAACUUAAAUUUUUAUAAAAGACGACAAGACCCUAUAGAAUUUUAUUUAUAAAUUAAUUAAAUUAAUUAAUAUUUUAAAUAAAUUUUUUUUAUAAAUUUAAUUGGGGUAAUUAAAAAAUUUAAAAAAUUUUUUUAUAAAUUUAACAAUAAUUAUUGAUUAAUAUAUCUUAAAAUUUAAAUUAAUAAAAUUAAUUACCUUAGGGAUAACAGCAUAAUUUUUUUUAAAAGCAUCAYAUUUGAUARAAACGAUUAU